rnacentral:rRNA from 1 species
GACGGACGCUGGCGGCGUGCUUAACACAUGCAAGUCGAACGGAAAGGCCCUGCUUUUGUGGGGUGCUCGAGUGGCGAACGGGUGAGUAACACGUGAGUAACCUGCCCUGGACUUUGGGAUAACUUCAGGAAACUGGGGCUAAUACCGGAUAGGACCUCCUGCGGCAUGGUGGGGGUUGGAAAGUUUCGGCGGUUGGGGAUGGACUCGCGGCUUAUCAGCUUGUUGGUGGGGUAGUGGCUUACCAAGGCUUUGACGGGUAGCCGGCCUGAGAGGGUGACCGGCCACAUUGGGACUGAGAUACGGCCCAGACUCCUACGGGAGGCAGCAGUGGGGAAUAUUGCACAAUGGGCGGAAGCCUGAUGCAGCAACGCCGCGUGCGGGAUGACGGCCUUCGGGUUGUAAACCGCUUUCGCCUGUGACGAAGCGUGAGUGACGGUAAUGGGUAAAGAAGCACCGGCUAACUACGUG